UACGUAGGGACCGAGCGUUGUCCGGAAUCAUUGGGCGUAAAGCGCGCGUAGGCGGCCGUCCACGUCGGGUGUGAAAGCUCGGGGCUCAACCCUGAGAGGCCACUCGAUACGGGACGGCUAGAGGCAGCUAGGGGAGAGUGGAAUACCUGGUGUAGCGGUGAAAUGCGCAGAUAUCAGGUGGAACACCGGUGGCGAAGGCGGCUCUCUGGGGCUGAUCUGACGCUGAGGCGCGAAAGCUGGGGUAGCAAACAGG
rnacentral:rRNA from 1 species